GGGAAUAUUGGACAAUGGGCGCAAGCCUGAUCCAGCAAUGCCGCGUGUGUGAAGAAGGUCUUCGGAUUGUAAAGCACUUUCGGCGGGGACGAUGAUGACGGUACCCGCAGAAGAAGCCCCGGCUAACUUCGUGCCAGCAGCCGCGGUAAUACGAAGGGGGCUAGCGUUGCUCGGAAUUACUGGGCGUAAAGGGCGCGUAGGCGGCGGUAGUAGUCAGGCGUGAAAUUCCUGGGCUUAACCUGGGGGCUGCGCUUGAUACGCUAUUGCUAGAGGAUGGAAGAGGCUCGUGGAAUUCCCAGUGUAGAGGUGAAAUUCGUAGAUAUUGGGAAGAACACCGGUGGCGAAGGCGGCGAGCUGGUCCAUUACUGACGCUGAGGCGCGACAGCGUGGGGAGCAAACAGGAUUAGAUACCCUGGUAGUCCACGCCGUAAACGAUGUGCGCUGGAUGUUGGGGCUCUUAUAGCUUCAGUGUCGUAGCUAACGCGGUAAGCGCACCGCCUGGGGAGUACGGCCGCAAGGUUG
rnacentral:rRNA from 1 species